AAACGCUGGCGGCGUGUCUUAAGCAUGCAAGUCGAGCGGCAGGCGCAGCAAUGCGCUGAGAGCGGCGGACUGGUGAGUAACGCGUGGGUAAUCUACCUUUGGCAUGGGGAUAGCCACUAGAAAUAGUGGGUAAUACCGAAUACGUUCCCUGGGGGGAGGUUUCAGGGAAGAAAGGGUGCUACGGCACCGGCCAAAGAUGAGCUCGCGUCCCAUUAGCUAGUUGGUGAGGUAACGGCCCACCAAGGCGAUGAUGGGUAGCCGGCCUGAGAGGGUGUACGGCCACACUGGGACUGAGAUACGGCCCAGACUCCUACGGGAGGCAGCAGCUAAGAAUAUUCCGCAAUGGACGAAAGUCUGACGGAGCGACGCCGCGUGGAUGAUGAAGGCCGAAAGGUUGUAAAGUCCUUUUGCUGGGGAAGAAUAAGUGUGGGAGGGAAUGCCCGCAUGAUGACGUGAACCGGCGAAUAAGCCCCGGCCAACUACGUGCCAGCAGCCGCGGUAACACGUAGGGGGCGAGCGUUGUUCGGAAUUACUGGGCGUAAAGGGCAUGUAGGCGGUCUGGUAAGCCUGGCGUGAAAGGCCACAGCUCAACUGUGGGAUUGCGUUGGGAACUGCUGGGCUUGAGUUAUGGAGAGGGAGCUAGAAUUCCUGGUGUAGGGGUGAAAUCUGUAGAUAUCA
rnacentral:rRNA from 1 species